UACGUAGGGGGCAAGCGUUGUCCGGAAUCAUUGGGCGUAAAGCGCGCGUAGGCGGCCCGGUAAGUCCGCUGUAAAAGUCCAGGGCUCAACCCUGGAAGCCGGUGGAUACUGUCGGGCUAGAGUCCGGAAGAGGCGAGUGGAAUUCCCGGUGUAGCGGUGAAAUGCGCAGAUAUCAGGAGGAACACCAAUUGCGAAGGCAGCUCGCUGGGACGUUACUGACGCUGAGACGCGAAAGCGUGGGAGCAAACAGG
rnacentral:rRNA from 1 species